GCGUGUUGUGUAAGCUUCUCGAGAUGGAAAGAUUGUUUGUGAGAACACCUUGGAUGCACGGUUAGAUGUUGCAUUCAAUAAAAAGCUUCCAGAGAUACGCAAGUGGCUCUUUGGUCAGGUUGGUGCUUGAAGGGUAGA